GGCGGAAGAAAAACUGUGACACAUAUGCAGGUAAUCCUUGAGGUGCAUAGUUGAUUACAUGUACUGGGGCUACUCAAAACUGCUAUGGGUGGUGGGCUGCACGAGCUUUCUCUUACAGGGACUUCACGACUGUUUACAUUGUUUCACAAUAAGAUAACUGUUGUGGUGUUAAACACAUCACUCAAACAGUGGAUGUAUAAACAUAAAUUAGGUCAUGCGCUCGUGUGCCUGAACUGAAUGCCACUGACCUACACUUUAAAACUGAAUAACCACAAAAUAAAAUCAUUAAGAAAGAUGUUUAAGAAUGAGGUUCAUAAUUUUGUGACAUUACUUGUGAAACUCUACAGUUUCUCAGAAAUCAUAAUUUUUUGUCUGCAAUCUAAGAUUUACUUCUAAAUAAAUCAAAGAUAGACAACUGUAAAAAUAAAGAAAUAAUGUCAAAAUAAAUGAACUACACACAA